rnacentral:rRNA from 1 species
GAACGCUGGCGGCAGGCCUAACACAUGCAAGUCGAACGGUAACAGAAAGCAGCUUGCUGCUUUGCUGACGAGUGGCGGACGGGUGAGUAAUGUCUGGGAAACUGCCUGAUGGAGGGGGAUAACUACUGGAAACGGUAGCUAAUACCGCAUAACGUCGCAAGACCAAAGAGGGGGACCUUCGGGCCUCUUGCCAUCGGAUGUGCCCAGAUGGGAUUAGCUAGUAGGUGGGGUAACGGCUCACCUAGGCGACGAUCCCUAGCUGGUCUGAGAGGAUGACCAGCCACACUGGAACUGAGACACGGUCCAGACUCCUACGGGAGGCAGCAGUGGGGAAUAUUGCACAAUGGGCGCAAGCCUGAUGCAGCCAUGCCGCGUGUAUGAAGAAGGCCUUCGGGUUGUAAAGUACUUUCAGCGGGGAGGAAGGGAGUAAAGUUAAUACCUUUGCUCAUUGACGUUACCCGCAGAAGAAGCACCGGCUAACUCCGUGCCAGCAGCCGCGGUAAUACGGAGGGUGCAAGCGUUAAUCGGAAUUACUGGGCGUAAAGCGCACGCAGGCGGUUUGUUAAGUCAGAUGUGAAAUCCCCGGGCUCAACCUGGGAACUGCAUCUGAUACUGGCAAGCUUGAGUCUCGUAGAGGGGGGUAGAAUUCCAAGUGUAGCGGUGAAAUGCGUAGAGAUCUGGAGGAAUACCGGUGGCGGAGGCGGGCCCCCUGAACGAAGACUGACGCUCAGGUGCGAAAGCGUGGGGAGCAAACAGGAUUAGAUACCCUGGUAGUCCACGCCGUAAAUGAUGUCGACUUGGAGGUUGUGCCCUUGAGGCGUGGCUUCCGGAGCUAACGCGUUAAGUCGACCGCCUGGGGAGUACGGCCGCAAGGUUAAAACUCAAAUGAAUUGACGGGGGCCCGCACAAGCGGUGGAGCAUGUGGUUUAAUUCGAUGCAACGCGAAGAACCUUACCUGGUCUUGACAUCCACGGAAGUUUUCAGAGAUGAGAAUGUGCCUUCGGGAACCGUGAGACAGGUGCUGCAUGGCUGUCGUCAGCUCGUGUUGUGAAAUGUUGGGUUAAGUCCCGCAACGAGCGCAACCCUUAUCCUUUGUUGCCAGCGGUCCGGCCGGGAACUCAAAGGAGACUGCCAGUGAUAAACUGGAGGAAGGUGGGGAUGACGUCAAGUCAUCAUGGCCCUUACGACCAGGGCUACACACGUGCUACAAUGGCGCAUACAAAGAGAAGCGACCUCGCGAGAGCAAGCGGACCUCAUAAAGUGCGUCGUAGUCCGGAUUGGAGUCUGCAACUCGACUCCAUGAAGUCGGAAUCGCUAGUAAUCGUGGAUCAGAAUGCCACGGUGAAUACGUUCCCGGGCCUUGUACACACCGCCCGUCACACCAUGGGAGUGGGUUGCAAAAGAAGUAGGUAGCUUAACCUUCGGGAGGGCGCUUACCACUUUGUGAUUCAUGACUGGGGUGAAGU